GCCAGGCAUGAUGGCUCAUGCCUGUAAUCUCAACACUUGGGAGGCUGAGGUGGGAGGAUCACUUGAGUCCAGGAGUUUGAGACCAGCCUGGGCAACAUAGUGAGACUCUAUCUCUA
ensembl:misc_RNA Metazoa_SRP Metazoan signal recognition particle RNA